GGGGAAUUUUGGACAAUGGGCGCAAGCCUGAUCCAGCCAUGCCGCGUGCGGGAAGAAGGCCUUCGGGUUGUAAACCGCUUUUGUCAGGGAAGAAAUCUUCUGGGUUAAUACCUCGGGAGGAUGACGGUACCUGAAGAAUAAGCACCGGCUAACUACGUGCCAGCAGCCGCGGUAAUACGUAGGGUGCAAGCGUUAAUCGGAAUUACUGGGCGUAAAGCGUGCGCAGGCGGUUGUGCAAGACAGGUGUGAAAUCCCCGGGCUUAACCUGGGAACUGCACUUGUGACUGCACGGCUGGAGUACGGCAGAGGGGGAUGGAAUUCCGCGUGUAGCAGUGAAAUGCGUAGAUAUGCGGAGGAACACCGAUGGCGAAGGCAAUCCCCUGGGCCUGUACUGACGCUCAUGCACGAAAGCGUGGGGAGCAAAC
rnacentral:rRNA from 1 species